CCUACGGGCGGCUGCAGUGGGGAAUAUUGCACAAUGGGCGCAAGCCUGAUGCAGCCAUGCCGCGUGUGUGAAGAAGGCCUUCGGGUUGUAAAGCACUUUCAGCGGGGAGGAAGGCGGUGAGGUUAAUAACCUCAUCGAUUGACGGUACCCGCAGAAGAAGCACCGGCUAACUCCGUGCCAGCAGCCGCGGUAAUACGGAGGGUGCAAGCGUUAAUCGGAAUUACUGGGCGUAAAGCGCACGCAGGCGGUCUGUCAAGUCGGAUGUGAAAUCCCCGGGCUCAACCUGGGAACUGCAUUCGAAACUGGCAGGCUAGAGUCUUGUAGAGGGGGGUAGAAUUCCAGGUGUAGCGGUGAAAUGCGUAGAGAUCUGGAGGAAUACCGGUGGCGAAGGCGGCCCCCUGGACAAAGACUGACGCUCAGGUGCGAAAGCGUGGGGAGCAAACAGGAUUAGAUACCCGUGUAGUC
rnacentral:rRNA from 1 species